GACAAGGCCAUUUCGUGGGAAAGAGUUUGAAUUUGAAUUCAAACUGAAAUGUUAGCUUGUUUGUGGGAAAAGUCAUGUGCAUGGCACAUUGUAAAACUGCCCAUGACUGCCCUUUUUGUAAACUGCCAUUGGCAACCCCUUUUUAUGUGUGUAUUUCGUUUGGCUAUGGCAAGAAGCAUAUGUGAGCCAAGUCUAAACGUGAGUCCUUUGUAUAUUCUGCGAGAAUUAAUAAAGGUUGGAUUUUUACCCGUAAUUCUGUGUGUUCUUUAAUUUGGCUAAAGUCUGAAAAUUUCUAAGUGUCAGGCUGUG
rnacentral:lncRNA from 1 species